rnacentral:rRNA from 1 species
UAAUACGUAGGGACCAAGCGUUGUUCGGAUUUACUGGGCGUAAAGGGCGCGUAGGCGGCUUGUCAAGUCACUUGUGAAAUCUCUGGGCUUAACCCAGAACGGCCAAGUGAAACUGACAUGCUAGAGUGCAGAAGGGGCAAUCGGAAUUCUUGGUGUAGCGGUGAAAUGCGUAGAUAUCAAGAGGAACACCUGAGGUGAAGACGGGUUGCUGGGCUGACACUGACGCUGAGGCGCGAAAGCCAGGGGAGCAAACGGGAUUAGAUACCCCGGUAGUCCUGGCCCUAAACGAUGAAUACUUGGUGUCUGGAGUAAUUUGUGCUCCGGGUGCCGUCGCUAACGUUUUUAGUAUUCCGCCUGGGGAGUACGCUCGCAAGAGUG